GAUGAACGCUGGCGGCGUGCCUAAUACAUGCAAGUCGAGCGAACGGACGAGAAGCUUGCUUCUCUGAUGUUAGCGGCGGACGGGUGAGUAACACGUGGAUAACCUACCUAUAAGACUGGGAUAACUUCGGGAAACCGGAGCUAAUACCGGAUGAUAUUUUGAACCGCAUGGUUCAAAAGUGAAAGACGGUCUUGCUGUCACUUAUAGAUGGAUUCGCGCUGCAUUAGCUAGUUGGUAAGGUAACGGCUUACCAAGGCAACGAUGCAUAGCCGACCUGAGAGGGUGAUCGGCCACACUGGAACUGAGACACGGUCCAGACUCCUACGGGAGUCAGCAGUAGGGAAUCUUCCGCAAAGGGCGAAAGCCUGACGGAGCAACGCCGCGUGAGUGAUGAAGGUCUUCGGAUCGUAAAACUCUGUUAUUAGGGAAGAACAUAUGUGUAAGUAACUGUGCACAUCUUGACGGUACCUAAUCAGAAAGCCACGGCUAACUACGUG
rnacentral:rRNA from 1 species